AGGAGGGAGAGAAAGAGGGCAUGUGUUUGCAUAGGUCUUUUGGAGAUAUCUGGAUGGGGCUGGACAGACUGGAUGCAAAGAUGAUGCACCCCGUGGCAAGGGUAUCCAGAACAAAGGGUCACAGUCUUAGGACAGAGGAGGAGUUCCCAACAAUCAAAGUACAUUGUGUUGAUCUUGCAAAGCAAUUUGGAUUUGAAGAAGUAGAGAGUGAAGAUGUUGAAGACCUGCUUGAAUCCCAUUGUGAAGACCCGUCUACAGUUGAUCUACUUGUCGCUGAGUAGGUGGGAAGUGGAAGCUGGAGAUGAAAAAGUAGUUGUCCAGGAUGCAGUACCAUGAGUGUUUUCCAUUUCUGUCUUCAAUCCUGAGGGAAAUUAAGAAGUAGCUGCAGCUCUAAGAGGACAUGGAUUACAAUGCAGAAUGCAGCAAGGUAGCAGUUCAUGGAAUAAGAUCUUAUUUGGCACCCUAUGAACAGCUUCUUCAUGAAAAAGGAAAACGGCAAAUCAGCAAAAAAUGGAUGUCUUUUUUAAGCCAACCCCCAAGAAACAGUCAGAAGACAAUGAACCACAGCCAUCCACUUCUGGAUUAACUAUUUUUCACCCUAACCCUGCAACCACAACUGCAUUUGAAGGUGAAGGGAUUUUUCUGAAGAAGGGUCCAGACCCGAAGCAUCAGCCUUCCUGCUCCUCUGAUGCUGCCUGGGCUGCUGCAUUCAUCCAGCUGUACACCAUGUUACCUCCGCAUCUGAAGGUGAUGUUGAUGAUGAUGACCCUCAGCC